UAUUAUACAGAAUAAAAGGUCGAGAAAAAAGACGAGGACAAAAGAGAAAAAUACAAAAGAGAAAAGAAAAUGCUCCAGGGAAUUGAAAAUAAGCAAAGAUCCGGAGAUUCCCGAAUAAAUCAACCUUUCGAACUGCUACUGAAUCCAUGGGUAGACAAGAGACAACCUGGCGAACUGAAACAUAUUAGUAGCCGGAGGAAAAGAAAGCAAAAGCAAUUCCCGUAGUAGCUAGGAGCGAAAUAAGAGCAACCUAAAUCGUGAAAACGGGGUUGUGGGAGAGCAAUAAAAGCGUCAUGUUGCUAGGCGAAGCUGUGAAGUGCAGAAUCCUAGAUGGCGAUAGUCCAAUAGCCGAAAGCAUCACUAGCUUACACUCUGACCCGAGUAGCAUGGGGCAUGUGGAAUCCUGUGUGAAUCAACAAGGACCACCUUGGAAGGCUAAAUACUCCUGAGCGACCGAUAGCAAAGUAGUACCGUGAGGGAGGGUGGAAAGAACCCCCGUCGAGGAGUGAAAUAGAACAUGAAACCAUAAGCUCCCAAGCAGUGGGAGGAGCCCAGGGCUCUAACCGCAUGCCUGUUGAAGAAUGAGCCAACGACUCAUAGGCAGUGGCUUGGUUAAGGGAACCCACCGAAGCCGUAACGAAAGCGCGUCUUCAUAGGGCAAUUGUCACUGCUUAUGGACUGGAACCUGGGUAAUCUAUCCAUGACCAGGAUGAAGCUUAGGUGAAACUAAGUAGAGGUCCAAACCGACUGAUAUUGAAGAACCAACGGAUGAGUUGCGGUUAAGGGUGAAAUGCCACUCAAACCCAAAGUUAGCUGGUUCUCCCCAAACUGCGUUGAGGCGCAACAGUUUACUGGACAUCUAGGGGUAAAGCACUGUUUCGGUGCAGGCAGCGUGAACGGUACCAAAUUGAGGCAAACUCUAAAUACUAGAUAUAACCUCAAAAUAACAGGGGUCGAGGUCAGCCAGUGAAACGAUAGGGGAUAAGCUUUAUCGGCUCCUAAAUAACCGCUCAAUGAUAAAAGAGGCAGGAGUGCAGAGGCAGCCAAGAGGGUUGCCUAGAAGCAACCACCCUUGAAAGAGUGCGUACUAGCUCACUGAUCGAACACUCUUACGCCGAAGAUGAACGGGGCUAAGCGAUCUGCCGAAGCUAUGGGGUGUAAAAAUGCAUCGAUAAGGGAUCAUUCCGCCUUAAGGGGAAGCACCCGCAUGAGCGGGAAUAGACGAAGCGAAAACGAAAAUCCAAUACCCCAAGAACCCAAGGGUUCCUCAGCAAGGUUCAUCCAUAGAGGGUGAGCCAGGGCCUAAGAUCAAACCGAAAAGCGUAGUUGAUGGACAAGUGAAUAUUCCUGUACUACCCAUUGUUGGCCCGAAGGACAAAGGCUAGGUUAGUCGAAAGAUGGUUAUCAGUUCAAGGACCCAAGGUGUUAAGAAUACUUUUUUUAAUGGAGAUCUAGUGGGUGUACAUAAAUAUUCCAUUGGUCUUUGAAGCACAGACCACUAAGAACAAGUUGUGCAAACUAACAAGAUAUCUAUAUGGGCUCAAGCAAUCUUCUUGAGCUUCGUUUGAUAAU
rfam:Gossypium hirsutum cultivar TM-1 chromosome 12, whole genome shotgun sequence